GGGACCUAUGAGUGCUAGUGUUGGAGGGUUUCCGCCCUUCAGUGCUGCAGCUAACGCAUUAAGCACUCCGCCUGGGGAGUACGACCGCAAGGUUGAAACUCAAAGGAAUUGACGGGGGCCCGCACAAGCGGUGGAGCAUGUGGUUUAAUUCGAAGCAACGCGAAGAACCUUACCAGGUCUUGACAUCCUUUGACCACUCUAGAGAUAGAGCUUCCCCUUCGGGGGCAAAGUGACAGGUGGUGCAUGGUUGUCGUCAGCUCGUGUCGUGAGAUGUUGGGUUAAGUCCCGCAACGAGCGCAACCCUUAUUGUUAGUUGCCAUCAUUCAGUUGGGCACUCUAGCAAGACUGCCGGUGACAAACCGGAGGAAGGUGGGGAUGACGUCAAAUCAUCAUGCCCCUUAUGACCUGGGCUACACACGUGCUACAAUGGGAAGUACAACGAGUUGCGAAGUCGCGAGGCUAAGCUAAUCUCUUAAAGCUUCUCUCAGUUCGGAUUGCAGGCUGCAACUCGCCUGCAUGAAGCCGGAAUCGCUAGUAAUCGCGGAUCAGCACGCCGCGGUGAAUACGUUCCCGGGCCUUGUACACACCGCCCGUCACACCACGAGAGUUUGUAACACCCGAAGUCGGUGAGGUAACCUUUUUGGAGCCAGCCGCCUAAGUGGGAUAGAUGAUUGGGGUGAAGUCGUAACAAGGUAGCCGUAUCGGAAGGUGCAGCUGGAUCACCUCCUUCGUACUGACCCAAAGCUUAAAGCGUCGGAGGUAAUACGGAUUAAAUA
rnacentral:rRNA from 1 species